CAAAGGCAAACACUAGGAAUCGCAUUUUUUUUUGUUGAAUCUGAAUAUUUUAGAAGAGCUCACGUUUGUGGCGCUCAAGCGGCGACAGCAGCAAAUAAUACACAUACACUUACGCUAUGUACACACACUCGCACUCACAUCACACACAUAUGCUAAAGAGACGAGUCAUUCGCGCUGCAGCUGAUCUUGAUGGAGAGCCCUCAGCGCCAAAAGAGCGAGAGAGUAAAUGAGUGCGAACGCGCUGUUGUUGUUGUUUUCUCUGUUGCUCUUGUUGUUGCUGUAGUAGUUACAUAUUUGCUUUGCCUUUCACGCCAAACGGCAAAACCAGAAAACCGAAUGAACAACAAACAGCACGAGACUUUAGCACACGAAAGUGAAACACAAUUUAAGCAAACGUCUGCUGACUCUAUAUGUGUGUGUGUCAGUAUUUUGCAUGUGUAAGCGUAUGUCAUGGGAAAAGAUAACACACAAAGUUGCACGAGACAAUUGACGCUGCUGCUGCUUUCAAAUGAUAAGAGAAUGCUUGCUGCAUAUGCAACUGAUAACGCAUAAUGCUGUUUGUCUUAUCAGAGACACGAAAGCACGUGUUGCCCCUGCCAUGCAAGUUAUUAACCUCAACCGCUGCACCGAAUGAAAAACAAUAAACUGAGAUUAGAUCAACUUACCCGCUUCUCAGCGCUGUCGCAUGGAUUGCCAACCGACGAUGACGAUGAGGAGGAUGUGGAUGUGGAUGUAGUUGCCGCUGUGCUCGGUAAAUGAUUUUGUGGCAAGACGGACACAUCCGAUGCCACCGAAUCCAAUUGUUCCUGCUUAAUGCCCGCGA